AUUGAACGCUGGCGGCAGGCCUAACACAUGCAAGUCGAACGGUAGCACAGAGAGCUUGCUCUCGGGUGACGAGUGGCGGACGGGUGAGUAACGUCUGGGAAACUGCCCGAUGGAGGGGGAUAACUACUGGAAACGGUAGCUAAUACCGCAUAACGUCGCAAGACCAAAGUGGGGGACCUUCGGGCCUCACACCAUCGGAUGUGCCCAGAUGGGAUUAGCUAGUAGGUGGGGUAAUGGCUCACCUAGGCGACGAUCCCUAGCUGGUCUGAGAGGAUGACCAGACACACGAGAACGGAGACACGGUCCAGACUCCUACGGGAGGCAGCAGUGGGGAAUAUUGCACAAUGGGCGCACGCCUGAUGCAGCCAUGCCGCGUGUAUGAAGAAGGCCUUCGGGUUGUAAAGUACUUUCAGCGGGGAGGAAGGCGGUGAAGUUAAUAACUUCACCGAUUGACGUUACCCGCAGAAGAAGCACCGGCUAACUCCGUGCCAGCCGCCGCGGUAA
rnacentral:rRNA from 1 species